rnacentral:tRNA from 1 species
GGAGAGGUGUCCGAGCGGUUUAUGGUGCUGGUCUUGAAAACCAGUGAGGGUAACACCUCCGUGGGUUCGAAUCCCACCCUCUCCGCCA